UACGGAGGGGGCUGGCGUUAUUCGGAAUUACUGGGCGUAAAGCGCACGUAGGCGGAACGGCAAGUUGGGGGUGAAAGCCCAGGGCUCAACCCUGGAACUGCCUUCAAAACUCCCGUUCUUGAGGUCGUGAGAGGUGAGUGGAAUUCCGAGUGUAGAGGUGAAAUUCGUAGAUAUUCGGAGGAACACCAGUGGCGAAGGCGGCUCGCUGGCACGAUACUGACGCUGAGGUGCGAAAGCGUGGGGAGCAAACAGG
rnacentral:rRNA from 1 species